rnacentral:rRNA from 1 species
CGGGGUGCACCAGGCGCGAAAACUUUGCAAUGCGGGAAACCGUGACAAGGGAACUCUGAGUGCCCGUUAAAUCGGGCUGUCCAUCGGUUUAAAUAACCGGUGAAGAAAGGGCCGGGCAAGACCGGUGCCAGCCGCCGCGGUAAUACCGGCGGCUCGAGUGGUGGCCACUAUUACUGGGCUUAAAGCGUUCGUAGCUGGUUUGUUAAGUCUCUGGGGAAAUCUUCCGGCUUAACCGGAAGGCGUCUCAGGGAUACUGGCAGACUAGGGACCGGGAGAGGUGAGAGGUACUCCAGGGGUAGGAGUGAAAUCCUGUAAUCCUUGGGGGACCACCUGUGGCGAAGGCGUCUCACCAGAACGGCUCCGACAGUGAGGGACGAAAGCUGGGGGAGCAAACCGGAUUAGAUACCCGGGUAGUCCCAGCUGUAAACGAUGCGCGUUAGGUGUAUCGGUGACCACGAGUCACCGAGGUGCCGAAGAGAAAUCGUGAAACGUGCCGCCUGGGAAGUACGGUCGCAAGGCUGAAACUUAAAGGAAUUGGCGGGGGAGCA